CCUACGGGGGGCAGCAGUGGGGGAUAUUGCACAAUGGGGGGAACCCUGAUGCAGCGACGCCGCGUGGGUGAAGAAGCGCCUCGGCGCGUAAAGCCCUGUCAGCAGGGAAGAAAAUGACGGUACCGGAAGAAGAAGCCCCGGCUAACUACGUGCCAGCAGCCGCGGUAUACGUAGGGGGCCAGAGUUAUCCGGAUUUACCGGGGGUUAAGGGGGCGCAGACGGCGAUGCAAGCCAGGAGUGAAAGACCGGGGGCCAACCCCGGGAUUGCUGGUGGAACUGCGUGGCUGGAGUGCGGGAGGGGCAGGCGGAAGUCCUGGUGUAGCGGUGAAAUGCGUAGAUAUCAGGAAGAACACCGGUGGCGAAGGCAGCCUACUGGAGUGCAACUGACGUUGAGGCCCGAAAGCGUGGGGAGCGAACAGGAUUAGAUACCCUUGUAGUC
rnacentral:rRNA from 1 species